rnacentral:rRNA from 1 species
AGAGUUUGAUCCUGGCUCAGGACGAACGCUGGCGGCGCGCCUAACACAUGCAAGUCGAACGGAGCUUAGAGAGCUUGCUUUUUAAGCUUAGUGGCGAACGGGUGAGUAACGCGUGAGUAACCUGCCCUAGAGUGGGGGACAACAGUUGGAAACGACUGCUAAUACCGCAUAAGCCCACGGUACCGCAUGGCACUGAGGGAAAAGGAUUUAUUCGCUUUAGGAUGGACUCGCGUCCAAUUAGCUAGUUGGUGAGGUAACAGCCCACCAAGGCGACGAUUGGUAGCCGGACUGAGAGGUUGAACGGCCACAUUGGGACUGAGACACGGCCCGGACUCCUACGGGAGGCAGCAGUGGGGGAUAUUGCACAAUGGGGGAAACCCUGAUGCAGCGACGCCGCGUGGAGGAAGAAGGUUUUCGGAUUGUAAACUCCUGUCGUUAGGGACGAUAAUGACGGUACCUAACAAGAAAGCACCGGCUAACUACGUGCCAGCAGCCGCGGUAAAACGUAGGGUGCAAGCGUUGUCCGGAAUUACUGGGUGUAAAGGGAGCGCAGGCGGGAAGACAAGUUGGAAGUGAAAACCAUGGGCUCAACCCAUGAAUUGCUUUCAAAACUGUUUUUCUUGAGUAGUGCAGAGGUAGAUGGAAUUCCCGGUGUAGCGGUGGAAUGCGUAGAUAUCGGGAGGAACACCAGUGGCGAAGGCGGUCUACUGGGCACCAACUGACGCUGAGGCUCGAAAGCAUGGGUAGCAAACAGGAUUAGAUACCCUGGUAGUCCAUGCCGUAAACGAUGAUUACUAGGUGUUGGGGGAUUGACCCCCUCAGUGCCGCAGUUAACACAAUAAGUAAUCCACCUGGGGAGUACGACCGCAAGGUUGAAACUCAAAGGAAUUGACGGGGGCCCGCACAAGCAGUGGAGUAUGUGGUUUAAUUCGAAGCAACGCGAAGAACCUUACCAGGUCUUGACAUCCUUCUGACCACUCCGUAAUGGGAGUCUUCCUUCGGGACAGAAGAGACAGGUGGUGCAUGGUUGUCGUCAGCUCGUGUCGUGAGAUGUUGGGUUAAGUCCCGCAACGAGCGCAACCCCUAUCUUCAGUAGCCAGCAGGUAAGGCUGGGCACUCUGGAGAGACUGCCAGGGAUAACCUGGAGGAAGGUGGGGACGACGUCAAAUCAUCAUGCCCCUUAUGAUCUGGGCGACACACGUGCUACAAUGGCGGUCACAAAGUGAGGCGAACCCGCGAGGGGGAGCAAACCACAAAAAGGCCGUCCCAGUUCGGACUGUAGUCUGCAACCCGACUACACGGAGCUGGAAUCGCUAGUAAUCGCGAAUCAGAAUGUCGCGGUGAAUACGUUCCCGGGUCUUGUACUCACCGCCCGUCA